UUUCUUAGGGGAAGAAUUCUGACGGUACCUAAGGAAUAAGCACCGGGCUAACUCCGUGCCAGCAGCCGCGGUAAUACGGAGGGUGCAGCGUUACUCGGAAUCACUGGGCGUAAAGGGCGCGUAGGCGGAUUAUCAAGUCUCUUGUGAAAUCUAAUGGCUUAACCAUUAAACUGCUUGGGAAACUGAUAGUCUAGAGUGAGGGAGAGGCAGAUGGAAUUGGUGGUGUAGGGGUAAAAUCCGUAGAUAUCACCAAGAAUACCCAUUGCGAAGGCGAUCUGCUGGAACUCAACUGACGCUAAGGCGCGAAAGCGUGGGGAGCAAACAGGAUUAGAUACCCUGGUAGUCCACGCCCUAAACGAUGUACACUAGUUGUUGGGGUGCUAGUCAUCUCAGUAAUGCAGCUAACGCAUUAAGUGUACCGCCUGGGGAGUACGGUCGCAAGAUUAAAACUCAAAGGAAUAGACGGGGACCCGCACAAGCGGUGGAGCAUGUGGUUUAAUUCGAAGAUACGCGAAGAACCUUACCUGGGCUUGAUAUCCUAAGAACCUUUUAGAGAUAAGAGGGUGCUAGCUUGCUAGAACUUAGAGACAGGUGCUGCACGGCUGUCGUCAGCUCGUGUCGUGAGAUGUUGGGUUAAGUCCCGCAACGAGCGCAACCCACGUAUUUAGUUGCUAACGGUUCGGCCGAGCACUCUAAAUAGACUGCCUUCGUAAGGAGGAGGAAGGUGUGGACGACGUCAAGUCAUCAUGGCCCUUAUGCCCAGGGCGACACACGUGCUACAAUGGCAUAUACAAUGAGACGCAAUACCGCGAGGUGGAGCAAAUCUAUAAAAUAUGUCCCAGUUCGGAUUGUUCUCUGCAACUCGAGAGCAUGAAGCCGGAAUCGCUAGUAAUCGUAGAUCAGCCAUGCUACGGUGAAUACGUUCCCGGGUCUUGUACUCACCGCCCGUCACACCAUGGGAGUUGAUUUCACUCGAAGCC
rnacentral:rRNA from 1 species